rnacentral:rRNA from 1 species
UACGUAGGGUGCGGGCGUUAAUCGGAAUUACUGGGCGUAAAGCGUGCGCAGGCGGCCUCUUAAGUCAGAUGUGAAAUCCCCGGGCUUAACCUGGGAACUGCGUUUGAAACUGGGAGGCUAGAGUGUGGAAGAGGGGGGUGGAAUUCCAGGUGUAGCAGUGAAAUGCGUAGAGAUCUGGAGGAACACCGAUGGCGAAGGCAGCCCCCUGGGCUAACACUGACGCUCAUGCACGAAAGUGUGGGGAGCAAACAGG